ACGUGCCUUACCGCCCUAUUCGAAGCGUAUCGGGGUCUAAAAAAACAGUAUAUUGCAAAAAUGCUUUGCACCUGUGUCCUAUCCCUUAUUCCGUCCUUCUUGUGUCAUGGUGCUAAGCCCAACGUGUUUGGGAGUCGCUCUCUUGUUGGUAAGAAGCCUGGCACAGCCCCAGUUCCACAAGCGAGAAAAGUGCCGUCAAUUUCAAGGGCAGAAAGUUCAACGAUAUGGUCUUGCGCUGCUAUUAUGAAAAUACUGAAUGGGCCAACUCUCAGCAUAUGUGCGAAGGCGUUAUGUCGUUGCAGAUGAUAAUGACUUGCAUGAAAAGUACAAUGUUCGAGACUCCAAUACCGUCAUCAUACCAAAAAGUCUACGUGAUUGACUUCGCCGAUAAAGUCACUGAAUGUCUCGCCACGUUGCUGCACCACCCAAUGCCUUAUGGCAGAAGCGCCGCUGAAGUGAUUGGUGAAUAAAAAUCUUAACUCGCCUUAUCCGCUGACGUCUUCUAGGCGGCUGUCCCCUUGGAGAGGUUCUCCUUUUUGGAUUAAAAGCAUGCUACCUACUACACAGGUAUAUGAAUGU
rnacentral:misc_RNA from 1 species